rnacentral:rRNA from 1 species
GGCAAUUUCAUCAGCGUAUACGUGCAAGUCGAGCGGACCGAACGGAAGCUUGCUUCUGUUCGGUUAGCGGCGGACGGGUGAGUAACACGUGGGUAACCUGCCCGUAAGACCGGGAUAACUCCGGGAAACGGGGCUAAUACCGGUAACCCGAAGACGCAGUCUCGGUGAAGUGGCUGUGUACCACUACGAUGCCGGGCGCAUUAGCUAUGGUGGGUAACGGCUCACAAGCGCGAUGGUAGCCGCCUGAGAAGAGACCGGCCACAUGGGAUGAACACGGCCCAGACUCCUACGGGAGGCAGCAGUAGGGAAUCUUCCGCAAUGGACGAAAGUCUGACGGAGCGACGCCGCGUGAGCGAAGAAGGUCUUCGGAUCGUAAAGCUUGUUGUUAGGAAAGAAGAAGUACCGUUCGAAUGGGCGGUACGGUGACGUACCUACGGAAAGCCCCGGCUAAUACCUGCCAGCAGCGCGGUAUACGUAGGGGGCGAGCUUGUCCGAAAUUAUUGGGGUAAAGCGCGCGCAGGCGGUCCCUUAAGUCUGAUGUGAAAGCCCACGGCUCAACCGGGGAGGGUCAUUGAAAAUGGGGGACUUGAGUCCAAAAGAGGAGAGCGAAAUUCCACGUGUAGCGGUAAAAUGCGUAGAGAUGGGAGGAACACCAGGGGCGAAGGCGGCUCUCUGGUCUGUAACUGACGCUGAGGCGGAAAGGUGGGGGACCAAACAGGAUUAGAUACCCUGGUAGUCCACCCCGUAAACGAUGAGUGCUAAGUGUUAGAGGGGUUAACCCUUUAGUGCUGUAGAUAACGCGUUAAGCACUCCGCCUGGGGAGUACGGCCGCAAGGCUAAAACUAAAAGGAAUUGACGGGGGCCCGCACAAGCGGUGGAGCAUGUGGAUUAAUUCGAAGCAACGCGAAGACCUUACCAGUCUGACAUCCCCUGACAACCCGGGAGACAGGCGUUCCCCUUCGGGGACAGGGUGACAGGUGGUGCAUGUUGUCGUCACCUCUGUCCUGAAUGUGGUAAGUCCCGCAACGAGCGCAACCCCGCCCUGUGCCAGCAUCGUGGCACUCUAAGGGACUGCGCUAAAAGCGAGAGUGGAUACUCAAAUCCAUGCUCAACUGCUAACCGUCUCAAUGCGUACAAGCGCUGCGAACCCGCGAGGGGGAGCGAAUCCCAAAAAGCCGCUCUCAGUUCGGAUUGCAGGCUGCAACUCGCCUGCAUGAAGCCGGAAUCGAUAGUAAUCGCGGAUCAGCUGUAGCGAUCGUGGGGGCAUCGU